rnacentral:rRNA from 1 species
GAUGAACGCUGGCGGCGUGCCUAAUACAUGCAAGUCGAGCGAACAGAUGAGGAGCUUGCUCCUCUGACGUUAGCGGCGGACGGGUGAGUAACACGUGGAUAACCUACCUAUAAGACUGGGAUAACUUCGGGAAACCGGAGCUAAUACCGGAUAAUAUAUUGAACCGCAUGGUUCAAUAGUGAAAGACGGUUUUGCUGUCACUUAUAGAUGGAUCCGCGCCGCAUUAGCUAGUUGGUAAGGUAACGGCUUACCAAGGCAACGAUGCGUAGCCGACCUGAGAGGGUGAUCGGCCACACUGGAACUGAGACACGGUCCAGACUCCUACGGGAGGCAGCAGUAGGGAAUCUGCCGCAAUGGGCGAAAGCCUGACGGAGCAACGCCGCGUGAGUGAUGAAGGUCUUCGGAUCGUAAAACUCUGUAUUAGGGAAGAACAAAUGUGUAAGUAACUAUGCACGUCUUGACGGUACCUAAUCAGAAAGCCACGGCUAACUACGUG